rnacentral:pre_miRNA from 1 species
CAUGCACUGGUGGGGUUCCUCGGCCUGGCCUGCACCCUCUCACAAUCCAGGACCCCUUGGGGGAUGUUAGAGAGCCAGUUUCGGCCCGAUCCUGCAGGCCAGGCCGAGGGACCCCACCGGUGCAUG